rnacentral:tRNA from 1 species
GGGGAUGUAGCUCAUCUGGUAGAGCGCGUGCUUAGCAUCACUUCAUGUUCCUGCACGAGGUACUGGGUUCGACUCCCAGCUUCUCCA